rnacentral:tRNA from 3 species
CGCAGAGUAGAGCAGUUCGGUAGCUCGCCGGGUUCAUAUCCCGGAGGUCGCUGGGUUCGAAUCCCGCCUCUGCAA